UACGAAGGGGGCUAGCGUUGCUCGGAAUCACUGGGCGUAAAGCGCACGUAGGCGGAUUGCUAAGUCAGGGGUGAAAUCCUGGAGCUCAACUCCAGAACUGCCUUUGAUACUGGCGAUCUCGAGUCCGGGAGAGGUGAGUGGAACUGCGAGUGUAGAGGUGAAAUUCGUAGAUAUUCGCAAGAACACCAGUGGCGAAGGCGGCUCACUGGCCCGGUACUGACGCUGAGGUGGCGAAAGCGUGGGGAGCAACAGG
rnacentral:rRNA from 1 species